AUGUCGGAGCUGUUAGUAGAGCUAGACAGCAGAACUGAUGAAGGGCGAUUGGUUGUGGGUGUUUCACGGUUGAAACAGAGGCGGAGGGAUAUGCUAGCAGAGACGGAAGGCGAGGGAGAUGCUGGAGCUUGCGGUAUCACGGUGAUGAUGAGAAAUCCGGUUGGGUGUUAUUGUGAGGAUGUUGAAUCACGAAUUCCAAACAGAGGGAAUUUGGUAGGUGGUGUUGUAAUAGAGAAAGGGCGAAGGAGGUGA